rnacentral:tRNA from 1 species
AAGGAUUUAAGUUAAAUUAAACUAGUAACCUUCAAAGUUACCAAUGAAGAACCCCCCCCUUUAAGCCUUA